UUGAUUGGUGAAACCAUCAUCUUGGUCAUCGAAAUAAUCAUUAUAGCUGAAGUGAAACUUUGGUAUUGUAGUCGUAUUUAUCUUUUUGAGUAUAGCAAGGUGCUUUAACCUAUAAUCAUACAAACGAUGUAGUAGCCUUGCCAAAGAAAAACAGUAACAUUUGGAGUCAAUUAUAGCUUUCACCUUGUAUAAAUCUUCAAGAUUAAGAAUAUUUGUUGAAGUCCUUGAGAUGGUCUCAUCACGACUCAAGGCAAG
rnacentral:lncRNA from 1 species